GUUACGUCACUCCACAUAUAACGAUCAGUUGGCAAUCCAGUUGAGGUAUAUCCAGAUAGUGGAUUCCAUCUCUGGUUUUCGUAUACACAGACCAUAACUUCAGGACUGUUGAGGACGAGGAUCAGAAAUAUUAUAAUGAAAGAAGGACUUUAACAUGAAAAAUAUAUUUUCAACAGAAGUUUACUCUUACACAUUUCCUUAAUAUAAUCUAAAUGAAAUGUAUUUUAUCACCCUGUUUCUGCCUCUGUCAAAAUUUCAUUCUAUGAAACUAUGCAGAAACAAAUACCAUAUUGGUAUCAACCUAUCAACAUAUCACUAUUAAUUAUCUACAUAAUAUCAAACCAAUAUAUUUAAGAACAAUUGAGUUAUUUCAAAGUUAUGCUUUUUUAUAGUCAGUAAUAUUUUUAAUACUCAAUUGUUCUUAAUAAUGUUUGGCUUAUUGUACUGAAGAUUGUAGUAUUAUUAAUACUGUUUAAUUUCAUAAAUAAAAUAAUAAGAUCUUUGCACGGUAACAAUUAAACUAUUAAUAUCACACAUAUUGAGAUGGAAUCAUAAUAAAACUAAUAUAAAUAACAGUAUAAAUAGUACAUCUAAGAUGUCACAUCAUAUAAAAUAUUCAAUUUGGCUAAUAAAUUGUCUAAAAUUCGUUCUCUCAUAAA